rnacentral:rRNA from 1 species
GAAGUAAAAAAUCGUAACAAGGUCUCCGUUGGUGAACCAGCG